rnacentral:rRNA from 1 species
GACGAACGCUGGCGGCGUGCUUAACACAUGCAAGUCGAACGGAAAGGCCCUGCUUUUGUGGGGUGCUCGAGUGGCGAACGGGUGAGUAACACGUGAGUAACCUGCCCUUGACUUUGGGAUAACUUCAGGAAACUGGGGCUAAUACCGGAUAGGAGCUCCUGCUGCAUGGUGGGGGUUGGAAAGUUUCGGCGGGUGGGGAUGGACUCGCGGCUUAUCAGCUUGUUGGUUGGGUAGUGGCUUACCAAGGCUUUGACGGGUAGCCGGCCUGAGAGGGUGACCGGCCACCAUGGGACUGAGAUACGGCCCAGUGUCCUACGGGAGGCAGCAGUGGGGAAUAUUGCACAAUGGGCGGAAGCCUGAUGCAGCAACGCCGCGUGCGGGAUGACGGCCUUCGGGUUGUAAACCGCUUUCGCCUGUGACGAAGCGUGAGUGACGGUAAUGGGUAAAGAAGCACCGGCUAACUACGUG